GAAGUGGUGCAUUCUAUAGAAUCAUCAAAAAGCAUUCACUUCCCAUGCAUGAAGGCUUAUAAAUCUUUUAAGUGAUCAUACAAAGGCUCAUGGCUAAUUUUAAAUCCCUGAGUGGUAGGAUCCAGGUGUGAAUUCAGUUGAACUUAAGUAGAAUCUCAUCCAAUUAAUACAUGAAAACUAUAUAUGAAAAACUGGAAAAAAAAUUGAAUAGACCAAAAGAUAAGUUAUGAAAGUCUUCAACUACAACCAAAAAAAGGGAGAAAAGCUUACUUUUGCUGUCUUACUCCCAUUGAU
rnacentral:misc_RNA from 1 species